UGAGACGCGGCAGGGUCACGCUCAACAACUUUUCAGCACAUUUUGGUCUCAAUCUUUUGCAGAUUAAUUAGGCACUUGACUGGCUGAAACUUCAAUACAGUUUUUUUUCGAAAAAAAAAUUAGUCGGCAUGCACAGCACUCUACUCUAAACUCCACUAUUUCUUCGGUGAGAGUACUGCAAAUUACUUCCGAA